GAUGAAGAACGUAGCGAAAUGCGAUAAGUAAUGUGAAUUGCAGAAUUCAGUGAAUCAUCGAAUCUUUGAACGCACCUUGCGCCCUUUGGCCAUUCCGAAGGGCAUGCCUGUUUGAGUAUCAUGAACACCUCAACUCUCAUGGCUCGCCAUGAUGAGCUUGGAUUUGGGGGUCUUGCUGGCCUGUGGUCGGCUCCUCUCAAAUGGAUCAGCUUCCAGUGUUUGGUGGCAUCACAGGUGUGAUAACUAUCUGCGCUUGUGGUUUUCCAUCAGAUAACCUUCAGUGAUGGAGGUUCGCUGGAGCUCAUAAACGUCUCCCCUAAGCGGGGACAGCCCUUUGAAUGUUUGAUCUCAAAUCAGGUAGGACUACCCGCUGAACUUAAGCAUAUCAAUAAGCGGAGGA
rnacentral:misc_RNA from 1 species